rnacentral:lncRNA from 1 species
CGGCAUUAAUCCAUUCAGGUGAUAUUAAUGGCCUUUUCCUGCCAGGAACUCCAGUGGGCACUCAGGAAGCCAGGAUUACAGGGCUCUAUCCAGUCACCGCAUGUCUCGGCAUUCGGGAAGCCUAUCUCAGUCUCCUCAAAUUCUGCACACAUAAAACUUCAGAGCCUGGGAGCGACCCAUGAAACGCAGGUUUUUAAGGACAAAACAAUAGGACAAAAGUGCUGUAUAUUGUCCUUAAGAUGACACAUGAAUUUAAAAUGCAUAGUGUUUGGAUUAUUCAUGAGAGCCCCGCAAGAACGAUGUCCCAGGGGUUUUUGCCAGGAACAUGCCUGAGAUUGUAGAUAAGAAUCAAGCAUCUGGGGCUGCCGCACAAUGGAAAACUCCAGCACUCCAUGGAACUUUUCCAUCUGCAGCAGUCGGAGGAUUUGCCUGAGAACAUACGCGGCAUGAAGACACUCUCAGCCCUCAAGGGCACCCAGUCAGCGCUGUUUAAGGACGGUUUUUCUGUUCACAGCAUACUUCAUGAUUACAGCUUCACUCCAUUGGAUACAACUAUUUACUGAGCAUCUCCUGACACCAGAGAGGACGCAACAAAAAUCACAACUCCUAGAACUGCACAGUCUAAAUGGCAACCACUAGCCCCUGUGACAACUGAUCACUUGAAAAAGGCUUCAUUCAAAUCAAAUUGGAAGAGAAGUCCAGAUUACCCAACUACAAUUACCUGAGCAAAAAUCCCCUCAAUUAUCUUGGUAAUCCAGAUAAAUUCGGAGUACAAAGAUUCUUUAGACGACAGCCAUCAAGCAGCAAAUACCUCGCAGGAGGCCAUUGUGUUUCUAUUUGAACUUCUAUGGAUGUCAAGCUCUGUUCUUCAAAAUUUAGCCCUACAGAUGGGUGGCCCACCGGAGAGAAUUAAUCUCACUAUGCAGCCAACACUACCCUUUCUGGAUCUUUCCCCAGUAGUGUGGAUUCUGCUCUAGUCCAGAAUUAUGCAGAAUAAGUAUACUUCAUCUUAGACACCAUAAUUCUUCAAAUAUCUAAAAUGUAUAUUAUGCUCUCCAAAUCCUGGUCAUCUCCAGGUUAAGUAUCUCUCAAAAACAGUCCAUCAGAUAAUAUGAUUUUAAAUCUUUAUCCCCUUGGUCAUAUACCCACAAUCUCAUUCUAUUUACCAAUAUCCCUACUGAUGCAUAAACUACAUAUGUAUAUGUGUGUUUUUUUUUAAAAAAAAAGCAAUUCCACUGUAAUUUUAGCAGAGGUUAUUUCCACAUAGAGCUAUGUAUAUGUGUAUAUACACAUAUCUUUAUAUUAUAUAGUUUUCUGUGCUUUCCCAGUUAUCUACAAUGGGCAUAUAUGACUUUUAUAGCCAGGUAAUUCAAUAUUCAUUCAUUCAGUGAACAUCAUUGAGCAUCCACUAUGGGCUGGGAAGUGAGGAUGGAGCCACAAACAAGCAAAAUAAAAACCCCUGCUCUUGUGGAGUUCCCUUCUCAUUGGAAGAGACGUACAGUAAAGAAAAAAAUAAAAGAGUAAAGUUAAUAGCCUGUGAGAAGGGGAUAUAAAAGUGGGAAGGAAGACAGGGUGAUGUGUGAGAAACACUUUUUUUUUU